ACCAGAGCUGGCCACUGUGGUUAGGGGGUAAUGCAAUGUUAAAGAAGAGAGAAUUCUGAAAGGAUAAUAAAACAUUAUAAGGUACACCUGAUAGCACCUGUCCAUCACUGCAGCCUCCAGCUCUCCCAUGAUCUCCGCCACCACCUCCUCCCCGUUGUCCUGUGUUGUCAUGGUGACCCAGGCGGCUUCCGUGAGGAGACCUGGGACAAUGUCCACUGUCUCCACAUUCUGGACCGAGGCAGGGCUAGGAAGAGCAGGUGCCAGAACCAAGCUGGCAGCACGACUCUUGUCGCGAGAUUUGGCCGCUGAGCGUGACAUGAUUCCGAGAUGUUUUCUGCAGAUGAACAUUGAUAUUUAUCAAUUUGAUACAUACCGGAAAAGAUGAAGCAGAGGAGUCUCUAAAUCACAGUGACAUCACACUGUAGAGCUGUAGAACACCUUGACCAGGGGUGCUGAAGAAGCUCCAUCCCUCCAGAUGGUCAUAUGGCAUCUUGGAAGCCGUAGCUACGUAGAGUUAAUAGGUAAUAGAUUUUCACAAUGCACUGUCUAAUCUCGUCAUCCAAUCAGUAUUAAUCUAUGGUUUUAAAUCACACUAUAUUAGAGAGGUAAUUUGAAUUUACUAUAUUAGUUUUGCUAUUCAAGUCCCUAUCCUAAUUCUGUGGUCUGCCUUGCCUCUGCCCUGUGGGUACUACUGGCCAGCCUGCUACUGUAUGUGAGGCUAGUGGUGCAGACUAGAGCACCCAAGUUUUGUUUAUCUCUUGUAUUUUCUUGUUUGUCGGCCAGUGCAAUGUAUUCACUAUAAUUCAGGUAUUCCUUUUCUUAUUUGAUUCUAAAUACUGCAAAACUAUGUUUGAAACAAAGCUGAAGUUAUACAUAUAGAAAUUAUGCAU